CUAUGAUCUGAAGUCAGGUGGGAU
rnacentral:rRNA from 2 species